rnacentral:rRNA from 1 species
AUACGUAGGUGACAAGCGUUAUCCGGAUUUACUGGGCGUAAAGGGCGUGUAGGCGGUCUUGCAAGUCAGAAGUGAAAUUCCUGAGCUCAACUCGGGCGCUGCUUCUGAAACUGCAGGACUUGAGUGCAGGAGAGGUAAGUGGAAUUCCCAGUGUAGCGGUGAAAUGCGUAGAGAUUGGGAGGAACACCAGUGGCGAAGGCGACUUACUGGACUGUAACUGACGCUGAGGCGCGAAAGUGUGGGGAGCAAACAGGAUUAGAUACCCUGGUAGUCCACACUGUAAACGAUGAAUGCUAGGUGUAGGGGGUAUCGACCCCUUCUGUGCCGCAGUCAACACAAUAAGCAUUCCGCCUGGGGAGUACGGCCGCAAGGUUGAAACUCAAAGGAAUUGACGGGG